CCCCCGGGGGUCCCUUCCCUCCUGGCUCCAUCCGUAGUUUGGUUGCACUUGAAGUGCUUUAUCCCCUUUUCGCCCCUUCCCUGCUUUCCCCGGGGGCGGCCGCGGUGUCGCUUGUUUUCCUCCCCACCCCGACUGACACCCGCGGAAGGGGCGUGAAGGAGGGGGGGGAGAGCCCGGUCGAGGCUGGCAUCUCCUCGUUGACCUUCCCUUGUUGGAAAGGGAAUGGGGUGGUUUGGGUGCUGGGCAGAGAGAAUUUCUUCCUCCUGAUUGUUCCCGUUUUAAGGUGGGUCGGUAAAGCUCUGGUAGGUUUUGCGUUGUCUGACACCGGCUGACACCUGGACCAGUGGUGGUGACACAUCAUGUGCCAGGCGGAAUCCGAGUGGUUGAAGGAUGCCCCUGGGAGAUCUUGAUAGGCACCGAAGGCCUCAAACUUUUGUAGGCGUGAAAAGCAAAGACGUUAGAAUUGUUUCUGAAAACUCCUUCAAAGAAACUUGGUUCCAGCUUCCAAACGGCUGAAAAAAAAACCCCCAGCUGUACUCACACCUGGACGGUGAGGACAGCAGGGCAGAAACGCUUCGCCAGCCAUCCAGUUUGGAGUUGGUGACUAUGAUCUACUAGGGAUGGAAAGUCACGAAAGAGACUCGGCAGUUGUCUGUUUUUAUGUGGUGGCCUAAAGUCCCAGAGGAUGACCUAGCACUUAAGAAUCAAACUGGGCCAAGUUAAAGGCCAAGUUGACUUGAAAGAACCCUAACGGUGGGACCGGGUCAGAAGCAAAGCAAGUCCCAAACUGAGUGUAUCUGGUCAAAGAUAUAUAUUCUUUUUAAAAGACAUUGUGUUACUGGAGCCGGGCCUGGAUCUUUUAGCAUCCAGUUGUGCUCGAAGCAGCUCAUAGGUUUUUUGUUUUGGUUUUUUUUUAUUCAUGUUUGUACAAUCUUCUGGAUAUUUUUUUUCAAGAAGGAGUAAAAGGGAGUGUUGGAAACUAACAAACAGGAUUAAAACCCUGAGCGCUUAAGGAAAACAGGUUAAGGAACUUAAUCCAGGAUGGAUAUGCAGGAGCCACAGCAGCUGGGUAUGUUUGCAGAGAGCGAGCUGAUGUCUGUGGGGAUGGACACUUUUAUCCAUCGCAUUGACUCUACGGAGGUCAUCUACCAGCCACGGCGGAAAAGGGCCAAGCUCAUUGGCAAAUACCUGAUGGGAGACUUACUUGGAGAAGGGUCUUACGGCAAAGUCAAGGAGAUGUUGGACUCUGAAACCCUCUGUAGGAGAGCUGUGAAAAUACUGAAGAAGAAGAAGCUACGCAGAAUUCCCAAUGGGGAGGCAAAUGUGAAAAAGGAAAUUCAGCUCCUGCGACGAUUACGGCACAAAAAUGUUAUCCAGUUGGUAGAUGUAUUAUACAAUGAAGAGAAGCAGAAAAUGUAUAUGGUGAUGGAGUACUGUGUGUGUGGGAUGCAGGAAAUGCUGGACAGUGUCCCAGAAAAGAGGUUUCCAGUUUUUCAGGCUCACGGGUACUUUUGUCAGCUUAUAGACGGCUUAGAAUACUUGCACAGCCAAGGGAUUGUCCACAAGGAUAUAAAACCGGGGAACCUCCUGCUAACAACCAAUGGGACACUGAAAAUAUCUGAUUUAGGCGUAGCAGAGGCAUUGCAUCCGUUUGCAGAGGAUGACACGUGCAGAACGAGCCAAGGGUCGCCAGCAUUCCAGCCACCAGAAAUUGCCAAUGGCCUUGACACCUUUUCAGGCUUUAAAGUAGACAUCUGGUCCGCAGGGGUCACACUAUACAACAUUACAACGGGUCUAUACCCCUUUGAAGGGGAUAAUAUCUAUAAAUUAUUUGAAAACAUCGGGAAAGGUGACUACACAAUUCCAGAGGAUUGUGGUCCUCCACUCUCAGACUUAUUGAGAGGGAUGCUUGAAUACGACCCAGCCAAGAGAUUUUCAAUACAGCAGAUAAGGCAGCACAAUUGGUUUCGUAAGAAACAUGCUCAGGCAGAGGCUCUGGUGCCCAUACCUCCCAGCCCAGAAACAAAGGACAGGUGGAGAAGUAUGACGGCGGUGCCUUAUCUGGAAGAUCUGCAUGGCUACAAUGAGGAAGAAGAUGAUGACUUGUAUGACAUUGAAGAUGAUAUCAUCUACACUCAGGACUUCACAGUACCAGGACAGGUGCCUGAGGAGGAGGCAGGGCAGAACGGGCAGAGCCGCGGCAAAGGGCUGCCCAAGGCCGUGUGCAUGAACGGGACGGAGACGGGACAGCUGAGCACCAAAUCGAAGGCAGAGCGGCGGGCGAGCGCCUCUUCCAACCCCUCCCGCAAGGCCUGCUCUGCCAGCAGCAAGAUCCGCAAGCUCUCCACCUGCAAGCAGCAGUGAGGCGGGAGCCUCAGCGUCCCAGGGCCCGGGCUAGCCCGCAUCCCCCCCAUCCUCGCCCCAUCUCUGCCUCUCUCCUGGGAGUGGACUGCGCUUGCGAUCCAAAAAGAAACCAGAGGAAACCAACCAAGGAAACCGCCCCCCACCUUCCCUGCGGCCCCCCCGCUCCGGACAGCGCCAGGAACCAGAAGCUGAUGGUGGCCAGACCCCACUUACCACCUCGGAAGAUGAAAUCUCUGACUGCGAAGAUGCUGCCCCUCCUCCCCAAUCACUCUUUGCCAAUCAAGACACUGAUUCUGUUUAAUUUUGCGAUGGGAAGGGUGGGACGAGCGGGGCCGGGGUGCGGUGGGACCCGCGCCCCCCCCCGCCGCCCUCGGCCGUGCCCACCCUGGCUGUGUAGAAGUCGUGCAAAGCCAUUGCCGUGCACUUUAUGUUUUAGACUACUGUUAUAUAUUAUAUAUUUUCCUCUUUUUUUUUUGUUUAUAUUUGCGGUAUAUCUAGAGAUUCCUACACAUCGUGAUGUGUUUAAAAUAAACCAGAUGAGGAAAAAAAACAGACUUAAAAAUGCUGAGUUGUAGAUCGAGUUAGUGCUUUGGACAGAGACUUUGCAGAGGGAAGGAGCGACCCGGCCUCUUUACUCGCAUGCAAUUGGGGUGCCGUGGAGGGGCGUGGGGGGCCCUCGGCCGUGCCCUGCCUGCCCCUCCUGCCUGCCCUGCUGCCGAGUCUCCCAGGUAACAUAUCUUGG